UGGGGAAUUUUGCGCAAUGGGGGAAACCCUGACGCAGCAACGCCGCGUGGAGGAUGAAGUAUCUUGGUACGUAAACUCCUUUCGAUGGGGAAGAUAAUGACGGUACCCAUAGAAGAAGCCCCGGCUAACUUCGUGCCAGCAGCCGCGGUAAUACGAGGGGGGCAAGCGUUGUUCGGAAUUAUUGGGCGUAAAGGGUGCGUAGGCGGUUUGAUAAGUCUGAUGUGAAAUCUCUGGGCUCAACCCAGAGUCUGCAUUAGAAACUGUCGGGCUUGAGUAUGGGAGAGGUGAGUGGAAUUUCCGGUGUAGCGGUGAAAUGCGUAGAUAUCGGAAGGAACACCUGUGGCGAAAGCGGCUCACUGGACCAUAACUGACGCUGAGGCACGAAAGCUAGGGGAGCAAACAGG
rnacentral:rRNA from 1 species